rnacentral:misc_RNA from 1 species
CAUCUAUAAUUUAAGGAUAAUUAUAUACAAUUUAUAUAACCUAUCCACUCAUCCAUGAAAUGAACAUUAAAUUUAACUCAUUCAUGAAACGAACUUUGAAUUUAAGCUAAUUAGGUUUAAAUCCUAAUCCUAAUUUAAAUAUACAUAGAAGUUGAUAUUUAUACAAGCAAACAGGGAGAAUGGUUUGUUUAUUCCAAGCUCUGGGGUUGAUCGAGGGCAAUGAUUGGAGGGUUGGGAGGAGGAAUGCCACUUGCGGUUGCUGGCCCAUUUUCAACAGCUGGGGACACACCCCAUUUGCCCUCAAACUCAAGAGGCUCAAAGACUAUAACACCUCCAUCUGUUAGUCCUAUAGCAAAUUGGUAAGGUUCUUGGGGAUUUGCAGCUAUCACAAGCGGGUAUACUGUAGAACUGAUAAUAUCUGAUUGAAAAUAAGAGCAAGGGUUAAUUUGACACCGCACUUCA